AGCGGAUUACCGCGUUCGCUUUUAUCCUCUCUGCCUCGUGGCGGCCCUUUCACGGCGAAAACACGGGUUCGAUUCCCGUAGGGCGCGCCA
rnacentral:tRNA from 3 species